UACGGGGGGGGCAAGCGUUGUUCGGAAUUACUGGGCGUAAAGGGCUCGUAGGCGGCCAACUAAGUCAGACGUGAAAUCCCUCGGCUUAACCGGGGAACUGCGUCUGAUACUGGAUGGCUUGAGAUUGGGAGAGGGAUGCGGAAUUCCAGGUGUAGCGGUGAAAUGCGUAGAUAUCUGGAGGAACACCGGUGGCGAAGGCGGCAUCCUGGACCAACACUGAAGCUGAGUGGGCGAAAGCCAGGGGAGCAAACGGG
rnacentral:rRNA from 1 species